rnacentral:rRNA from 1 species
GAUGAACGCUAGCUACAGGCUUAACACAUGCAAGUCGAGGGGAAACGGCAUUAAGUGCUUGCACUUUUUGGACGUCGACCGGCGCACGGGUGAGUAACGCGUAUCCAACCUUCCCAUGACUAAGGGAUAACCUGCCGAAAGGCAGACUAAUACCUUAUGGUCUUCGCUGACGGCAUCAGAUGUGAAGUAAAGAUUUAUCGGUUAUGGAUGGGGAUGCGUCUGAUUAGCUUGUUGGCGGGGUAACGGCCCACCAAGGCAACGAUCAGUAGGGGUUCUGAGAGGAAGGUCCCCCACAUUGGAACUGAGACACGGUCCAAACUCCUACGGGAGGCAGCAGUGAGGAAUAUUGGUCAAUGGGCGAGAGCCUGAACCAGCCAAGUAGCGUGCAGGAUGACGGCCCUAUGGGUUGUAAACUGCUUUUGUAUGGGGAUAAAGUCAAUCACGUGUGAUUGUUUGCAGGUACCAUACGAAUAAGGACCGGCUAAUUCCGUGCCAGCAGCCGCGGUAAUACGGAAGGUCCGGGCGUUAUCCGGAUUUAUUGGGUUUAAAGGGAGCGUAGGCUGGAGAUUAAGUGUGUUGUGAAAUGUAGACGCUCAACGUCUGACUUGCAGCGCAUACUGGUUUCCUUGAGUACGCACAACGUUGGCGGAAUUCGUCGUGUAGCGGUGAAAUGCUUAGAUAUGACGAAGAACUCCGAUUGCGAAGGCAGCUGACGGGAGCGCAACUGACGCUGAAGCUCGAAGGUGCGGGUAUCGAACAGG